rnacentral:rRNA from 1 species
CAGCAGCCGCGGGAAUACAGAGGGUGCAAGCGUUAAUCGGAAUUACUGGGCGUAAAGCGCGCGUAGGUGGUUUGUUAAGUUGGAUGUGAAAUCCCCGGGCUCAACCUGGGAACUGCAUCCAAAACUGGCAAGCUAGAGUAUGGUAGAGGGUGGUGGAAUUUCCUGUGUAGCGGUGAAAUGCGUAGAUAUAGGAAGGAACACCAGUGGCGAAGGCGACCACCUGGACUGAUACUGACACUGAGGUGCGAAAGCGUGGGGAGCAAACAGGAUUAGAUACCCGAGUAGUCCCUGUCUCUAUACA